rnacentral:rRNA from 1 species
AACGAACGCUGGCGGCGUGGAUAAGACAUGCAAGUCGGACGAGAUUUUUCGUUGUAGCAAUAUGAUGGGAAGUUUAGUGGCGAACGGGUGCUUAACACGUGGGCAACCUGCCAGGAAGUGGGGGAUAGCUCGCCGAAAGGCGAAUUAAUACCGCAUGUGAUUAGAGAGGACAUCCUUUCGAAAUUAAAGUCGGGGCAACCUGACGCUUCUUGUGGGGCCCGCGGCCUAUCAGCUAGUUGGUGGGGUAACGGCUCACCAAGGCUUUGCCGGGUAGCUGGUCUGAGAGGACGACCAGCCACACUGGGACUGAGACACGGCCCAGACACCUACGGGUGGCAGCAGUCGAGAAUUUUUGACAAUGGGGGAAACCCUGAUCGAGCGACGCCGCGUGGAGGAUGAAGGUCUUCGGAUUGUAAACUCCUGUCAUUGGGGAACAAUGCGUGACGGUUAACUGCCGUCGCGUUGAUAGUACCCGAAGAGGAAGAGACGGCUAACUCUGUGCCAGCCGCCGCUGUAAUAC